UCGAGCCUAUGAUGCUGCCCAAUAUUGCAUUCGUGGUGAUGGUGGUCCAUUUAAUUUUCCAGCAAAUAAAAAGCCACAGCUUCCUGAGGGUUCUUUGGAUUCUUUGUCAAAGGAGGAUAUACAAACUAUUGCAACAAACUUUGCAGCAGGUGCAUCAGCCUCCUCACCAGUUGCUGCACCUGCAACAACUCAGGUAUCUGUUAAUACACCAGCUUCCUUUGAUUUUCCAGUUUCAGGUUCCUGUGUGACUAAAUCUGAGGUGGCUGGGGAACCUUAUUUUCCAUCAACUGCCAUCGAAGAAGCUGCC
rnacentral:lncRNA from 1 species